AGUCGAUGCCCCGGUAGCUCAGUGAUAGAGCUCCUGUAUGUAGUGAUCGAAAGCGCCUAGCAAUAAUUACAAGGAGGUCACAGGUUCAAAUCCUGCCCGGUGGCUA